rnacentral:rRNA from 1 species
GUUGAUAAGGUUAAGUGAAUAAGGGCGCACGGUGGAUGCCUUGGCACUAGGAGCCGAUGAAGGACGGGACUAACACCGAUAUGCUUUGGGGAGCUGUACGUAAGCUAUGAUCCAGAGAUUUCCGAAUGGGGAAACCCAACAUCUUUUAUAGGAUGUUACGUUUGCGUGAAUACAUAGCGCAUUCGAGGUAGACGCAGAGAACUGAAACAUCUAAGUACCUGCAGGAAGAGAAAGAAAAUUCGAUUCCCUGAGUAGCGGCGAGCGAAACGGGAAAAGCCCAAACCAAUGAGCUUGCUCAUUGGGGUUGUAGGACUCCAAUAUGGUAGUUCUUUCAGAUAAUCGAAUGACUUGGAAAAGUCAGUCAAAGAGGGUAAAAACCCCGUAGAUGAAAUUUGGAAGGCACCUAGGAGGAUCCUGAGUACGGCGGAACACGAGGAAUUCCGUCGGAAUCCGGGAGGACCAUCUCCCAAGGCUAAAUACUCCCUAGUGACCGAUAGUGAACCAGUACCGUGAGGGAAAGGUGAAAAGCACCCCGGAAGGGGAGUGAAAUAGAACCUGAAACCGUGUGCCUACAACAAGUCAAAGCCCGUUAAUGGGUGAUGGCGUGCCUUUUGUAGAAUGAACCGGCGAGUUACGAUUGCAUGCGAGGUUAAGUCGAAGAGACGGAGCCGCAGCGAAAGCGAGUCUGAAUAGGGCGUUUGAGUAUGUAGUCGUAGACCCGAAACCAUGUGAUCUACCCAUGUCCAGGUUGAAGGUGCGGUAAAACGCACUGGAGGACCGAACCCACGUACGUUGAAAAGUGCGGGGAUGAGGUGUGGGUAGCGGAGAAAUUCCAAACGAACUUGGAGAUAGCUGGUUCUCUCCGAAAUAGCUUUAGGGCUAGCCUCGGAUUUGAGAAUGAUGGAGGUAGAGCACUGUUUGGACUAGGGGCCCAUCUCGGGUUACCGAAUUCAGAUAAACUCCGAAUGCCAUUCAUUCAUAUCCGGGAGUCAGACUGUGAGUGAUAAGAUCCAUAGUCGAAAGGGAAACAGCCCAGACCACCAGCUAAGGUCCCAAAAUAUAUGUUAAGUGGAAAAGGAUGUGGGGUUGCACAGACAACUAGGAUGUUGGCUCAGAAGCAGCCACCAUUUAAAGAGUGCGUAAUAGCUCACUAGUCGAGUGACCCUGCGCCGAAAAUGUACCGGGGCUAAACAUAUUACCGAAGCUGUGGAGUACACCAUUAGGUGUAUUGGUAGGAGAGCGUUCUAAGGGCGUUGAAGGCAGAUCGUGAGGACUGCUGGAGCGCUUAGAAGUGAGAAUGCCGGUAUGAGUAGCGAAAGACAGGUGAGAAUCCUGUCCACCGAAUGACUAAGGUUUCCUGGGGAAGGCUCGUCCGCCCAGGGUUAGUCGGGACCUAAGCCGAGGCCGACAGGCGUAGGCGAUGGACAACAGGUUGAUAUUCCUGUACUCGUUGUUUUUGUUUGAGCAAUGGAGGGACGCAGGAGGCUAAGGAAUGCAGACGAUUGGAAAUGUCUGUCCAAGCAGUAAGUCUUGAUAGGAGUCAAAUGCUUCUGUCUACACGGAUAAGCUGUGAUGGGGAGGGAAAUAAUAGUACCGAAGUUCCUGAUGUCACACUGCCAAGAAAAGCUUCUAGUGAGAAAACAAUGACCCGUACCGCAAACCGACACAGGUAGUCGAGGAGAGAAUCCUAAGGUGAGCGAGAGAACUCUCGUUAAGGAACUCGGCAAAAUGACCCCGUAACUUCGGGAGAAGGGGUGCUGAUCUUCGAUCAGCCGCAGUGAAUAGGCCCAAGCGACUGUUUAUCAAAAACACAGGUCUCUGCAAAAUCGUAAGAUGAAGUAUAGGGGCUGACGCCUGCCCGGUGCUGGAAGGUUAAGAGGAGUGCUUAGCGUAAGCGAAGGUACGAAUUGAAGCCCCAGUAAACGGCGGCCGUAACUAUAACGGUCCUAAGGUAGCGAAAUUCCUUGUCGGGUAAGUUCCGACCCGCACGAAAGGCGUAACGAUUUGGGCACUGUCUCAACGAGAGACUCGGUGAAAUUUUAGUACCUGUGAAGAUGCAGGUUACCCGCGACAGGACGGAAAGACCCCAUGGAGCUUUACUGUAGUUUGAUAUUGAGUGUCUGUACCGCAUGUACAGGAUAGGUAGGAGCCGUAGAAAUCGGAACGCUAGUUUCGAUGGAGGCGCUGGUGGGAUACUACCCCUGCGUUAUGGCCACUCUAACCCGCACCACUGAUCGUGGUGGGAGACAGUGUCAGAUGGGCAGUUUGACUGGGGCGGUCGCCUCCUAAAAGGUAACGGAGGCGCCCAAAGGUUCCCUCAGAAUGGUUGGAAAUCAUUCGAAGAGUGUAAAGGCAGAAGGGAGCUUGACUGCGAGACCAACAAGUCGAGCAGGGACGAAAGUCGGGCUUAGUGAUCCGGUGGUUCCGCAUGGAAGGGCCAUCGCUCAACGGAUAAAAGCUACCCUGGG